rnacentral:rRNA from 1 species
UACGUAGGGUCCGAGCGUUGUCCGGAAUUAUUGGGCGUAAAGGGCUCGUAGGCGGUUUGUCGCGUCGGGUGUGAAAACAUCUGGCUUAACUGGGUGCUUGCUUUCGAUACGGGCAGACUGGAGGUAUGCAGGGGAGAACGGAAUUCCUGGUGUAGCGGUGAAAUGCGCAGAUAUCAGGAGGAACACCGGUGGCGAAGGCGGAUCUCUGGGCCAUUACUGACGCUGAGGAGCGAAAGCGUGGGGAGCGAACAGG